rnacentral:lncRNA from 1 species
CUAAGACAUUGUUAGGGUGGCUUUGUGCAGCCCGAAGCUGAGGUGGAGACUGGACAGAGCCAGCAAGCUGGGAGGAUGUUUGCCAAGGCUGCCUUUUCAGAGCUGAGCAGAUCUAGAUAAAUAUGCAUCCAGAGGUGAAGAGCUGGAGAUGGUGAAACCGUGUCCCUGUCUCAGUGCCCCUACCACCACCACCACCUUUGUUCAGAACUAGAAGAAAACCAGAACUUUUGAACCAGUUGUGUGAAGUUUUUGGAGGGCUGAGGAAUGCAAGUAAUGAGUGAGGAUGUGGACAAGACGGAACAUUCUGAACCCAGCCCUAGACUGAGGAUGUGGCUGGCUGAAGGAGGUCAUCACAACUUAUGUCACCACUGCACAGUUGAGAAAGUCUGGCUCUCUCCUGGCUCCUGAUUUCAACCAUCGCUACAGAGAAUGAGUUUGUCUCAGGGCUGUGCUGACUCUCUGGGGG